GGGGGUGUAGCUUAGUGAUAGAGUGGCUGAUUGCAGAUCAGCAGGUCCUCAGUUCAAAUCUGGGGGCGCCCU
rfam:Perkinsus marinus ATCC 50983 gcontig_1104296376352, whole genome shotgun sequence.